CCUACGGGAGGCAGCAGUGGGGAAUUUUGGACAAUGGGCGAAAGCCUGAUCCAGCCAUUCCGCGUGAGUGAAGAAGGCCUUCGGGUUGUAAAGCUCUUUCGCAAGGGAAGAAAACUUAGUCUCUAACAUAGACUGAGGUUGACGGUACCUUGAUAAGAAGCACCGGCUAACUACGUGCCAGCAGCCGCGGUAAUACGUAGGGUGCGAGCGUUAAUCGGAAUUACUGGGCGUAAAGCGUGCGCAGGCGGUUUUGUAAGUCAGAUGUGAAAUCCCCGAGCUCAACUUGGGAACUGCGUUUGAAACUACAAGACUAGAAUAUGUCAGAGGGGGGUAGAAUUCCACGUGUAGCAGUGAAAUGCGUAGAGAUGUGGAGGAAUACCAAUGGCGAAGGCAGCCCCCUGGGAUAAUAUUGACGCUCAUGCACGAAAGCGUGGGGAGCAAACAGGAUUAGAUACCCUGGUAGUCCACGCCCUAAACGAUGUCUACUAGUUGUUGGUGGAGUAAAAUCCAUGAGUAACGCAGCUAACGCGUGAAGUAGACCGCCUGGGGAGUACGGUCGCAAAGAUUUAAAACUCAAAUUGAAGUUAGAGGCGNGAGAGNGCGACGACGACGACGAGGAGGAGG
rnacentral:rRNA from 1 species